rnacentral:rRNA from 1 species
GAUGCCUGCCCGGUGACUUCGUNNNAAACGGCCGCGGUAUCCUAACCGUGCAAAGGUAGCGCAAUCAAUUGUCCCGUAAAUCGGGACUAGUAUGAAUGGCUAAACGAGGUCUUAACUGUCUCUUGCAGGCAAUCGGUGAAAUUGAUCUCCCUGUACAAAAGCAGGGAUAACUACAUAAGACGAGAAGACCCUGUGGAACUUCAAAAUCAGCAACCACCCCAAAAUACAUACACACCCACCCCGGGUUCACUUAUCCAACGGGAGAUUGGUUAGCAUUUUUUCGGUUGGGGCGACCUUGGAGCAAAACAAAACCUCCAAACNUUGGACCAUCCCUCCAGACUAAGAGCGACAUCUCGACGUGCCAANAGCAACCAGACCCAAUAACAUUGAUCAAUGGACCAAGCUACCCCAGGGAUAACAGCGCAAUCUCCUUCGAGAGUCCAUAUCGACGGGGAGGUUUACGACCUCGAUGUUGGAUCAGGACAUCUAGUGGUGCAGCCGCUACUAAG